UACGAAGGGGCUAGCGUUGCUCGGAAUCACUGGGCGUAAAGGGUGCGUAGGCGGGUCUUUAAGUCAGGGUGAAAUCCUGGAGCUCAACUCCAGAACUGCCUUUGAUACUGAAGAUCUUGAGUCCGGGAGAGGUGAGUGGAACUGCGAGUGUAGAGGUGAAAUUCGUAGAUAUUCGCAAGAACACCAGUGGCGAAGGCGGCUCACUGGCCCGGUACUGACGCUGAGGUGCGAAAGCGUGGGGAGCAAAGCAG
rnacentral:rRNA from 1 species